GGCCUUGCACUGAGGUUUGGUUGUUUUGGUGAAGCCCUGGAUGAGAUUCUGUUUACCAGCACUACUGCUUUGGAGUUAAACUGGACUUGGAUUAUCAUCAACCAUGAAAUCACCCUAGUUUUCCCAUGUAUGGAAUUGUUUUCUAGAGUUAUUUGAUUUCUCAAGUACGUAACGGUGGUAUUCUCAAUUAGUGUAGAACGUCUGAACAUUCGACCUGGAGAUGGAUCAGCAAGCAGGUGGUGCAGAGGACCCCAAUAAACCAUCCAAAAAGAAACCAAAUGAAGAGGAUAGUAAGAACAAGAAGCUGACCAAGAGGAAAAGGACUACACCGACACUACACUGUUAGUUUAGUUUAAAAGC